UAACACGUGGAUAAUCUGCCCUGAGGUGGGGAAUAACCCCGGGAAACUGGGGAUAAUGCCCCAUAGGUCACAGAUGCUGGAAUGCCCUGUGGCUCAAAGGUCCGCCGCCUCAGGAUGAGUCUGCGGCCGAUUAGGUUGUUGUUGGGGUAAUGGCCCAACAAGCCUGUAAUCGGUACGGGUUGUGAGAGCAAGAGCCCGGAGAUGGAUUCUGAGACACGAAUCCAGGCCCUACGGGGCGCAGCAGGCGCGAAAACUUUACAAUGCGGGAAACCGUGAUAAGGGAACCCCGAGUGCCCGUAAAUUCGGGCUGUUCACCAGUGCAAACAGCUGGUGGAGAAAGGGCCGGGCAAGACCGGUGCCAGCCGCCGCGGUAAUACCGGCGGCUCGAGUGGUGGCCACUAUUACUGGGCUUAAAGCGUCCGUAGCUGGGUUGUUAAGUCUCUGGGGAAAUCUUCCGGCUUAACCGGAAGGCGUCUCAGGGAUACUGGCAAUCUAGGGAUCGGAAGAGGUGAGGGGUACUCCAGGGGUAGGAGUGAAAUCCUGUAAUCCUUGGGGGACCACCUGUGGCGAAGGCGCCUCACCAGGACGACUCCGACAGUGAGGGACGAAAGCUGGGGGAGCAAACCGGAUUAGAUACCCGGGUAGUCCCAGCUGUAAACGAUGCGCGUUAGGUGUAUCGGUGACCACGAGUUACCGAGGUGCCGAAGGGAAACCGUGAAACGCGCCGCCUGGGAAGUACGGUCGCAAGGCUGAAACUUAA
rnacentral:rRNA from 1 species